CCUACUUCUUGGAUGGCCUGAGGCUUCUCCCAAACACCUUUAUCUUCCCAUUUUUUACUUGCCAUCACGAGCCCUCUCUCCUUCGCGUCAGUUUUGGUUUAUUAUAAACACUUUUUCUUUGAUGAUGAACCAACCACGCUGAUGGCUGUCAAAUGGACGGCCAUUCUGGUCUUCUCCAGAAUGCCCCUGACCACAAACUACAGUGAUGACUUAAUUAACUUCAGCUCGAUGCUCCGGAUGAACAAGGCCAUAAACAG
ensembl:lncRNA